AAGUGUCGUCUCGCAUGUUAGACGUUAUUGUUACUUAAGCUCUCGUGGUGACCAAGCUCGCAGAAUGGCGUCAGUCCUACCGGUCUUUGUGUCCGCUCUGCUGAUGCUGGUUUUAAUCUCCACCAUAGAAGGAGCCCCUUAUUACCAGGGAUGUGACUGCUUUUCUGAUGAAAAUGGUUGUCCAUCGAAAUGGAUAGAAGAAGCCGACCGAGGUACAUGUGACUCGGAUGAGAAAAGAUGCUGCCCUCCGCUAAGAAUCUUCUUCUUUCCCUUCCCUGAAUUCUUUCCCACUUCUAUGUAUCCGACGACAGAACCGAACAGUCUUGAAUACAAAUGGGGGAAGUGAUACUUUAACAAUACCAGGCUCGAAGCUGACGGAAUUUAAUGGGAUGAUUCUUGGCUGGGGUCUACUUUUGCUUCAACCAAUUUGGAGGCAGAUGAUAUGAGCUCAGUCCAGCAUGACUGUAAAUCAUUUAACAGUGCAUUCAGGAUGUGUGUCAUUACGUUAUACAAUAACUGAUAUUAUCUGUUAAAACAUUUAUAUUAAAUAAAGGUAUUAUGACGGCUA